rnacentral:rRNA from 1 species
UACGUAGGGAGCAAGCGUUGUCCGGAUCAUUGGGCGUAAAGCGCUCGUAGGUGGCUUCGUAAGUCCGUUGUGAAAGUCAAAGGCUCAACCUUUGAAAGCCGAUGGAUACUGCGGAGCUAGAGUACGGAAGAGGCGAGUGGAAUUCCUGGUGUAGCGGUGGAAUGCGCAGAUAUCAGGAGGAACACCAAUAGCGAAGGCAGCUCGCUGGGACGUUACUGACACUGAGGCGCGAAAGCGUGGGGAGCGAACAGG